rnacentral:rRNA from 1 species
UUAAUGAGAGUUUGAUCCUGGCUCAGGACGAACGCUGGCGGCGUGCCUAAUACAUGCAAGUAGAACGCUGAAGUCUGGUGCUUGCACUAGACGGAUGAGUUGCGAACGGGUGAGUAACGCGUAGGUAACCUGCCUCAUAGCGGGGGAUAACUAUUGGAAACGAUAGCUAAUACCGCAUAACAGUAUUUAUCGCAUGGUAGAUACUUGAAAGGAGCAAUUGCUUCACUAUGAGAUGGACCUGCGUUGUAUUAGCUAGUUGGUGAGGUAACGGCUCACCAAGGCUUCGAUACAUAGCCGACCUGAGAGGGUGAUCGGCCACACUGGGACUGAGACACGGCCCAGACUCCUACGGGAGGCAGCAGUAGGGAAUCUUCGGCAAUGGGGGCAACCCUGACCGAGCAACGCCGCGUGAGUGAAGAAGGUUUUCGGAUCGUAAAGCUCUGUUGUAAGAGAAGAACUGUGAGAAGAGUGGAAAGUUUCUCACUUGACGGUAUCUUACCAGAAAGGGACGGCUAACUACGUGCCAGCAGCCGCGGUAAUACGUAGGUCCCGAGCGUUGUCCGGAUUUAUUGGGCGUAAAGCGAGCGCAGGCGGUUUGAUAAGUCUGAAGUAAAAGGCUGUGGCUUAACCAUAGUACGCUUUGGAAACUGUCAAACUUGAGUGCAGAAGGGGAGAGUGGAAUUCCAUGUGUAGCGGUGAAAUGCGUAGAUAUAUGGAGGAACACCGGUGGCGAAAGCGGCUCUCUGGUCUGUAACUGACGCUGAGGCUCGAAAGCGUGGGGAGCGAACAGGAUUAGAUACCCUGGUAGUCCACGCCGUAAACGAUGAGUGCUAGGUGUUGGGUCCUUUCCGGGACUCAGUGCCGCAGCUAACGCAUUAAGCACUCCGCCUGGGGAGUACGACCGCAAGGUUGAAACUCAAAGGAAUUGACGGGGGCCCGCACAAGCGGUGGAGCAUGUGGUUUAAUUCGAAGCAACGCGAAGAACCUUACCAGGUCUUGACAUCCCGAUGACCGCCCUAGAGAUAGGGUUUCUCUUCGGAGCAUCGGUGACAGGUGGUGCAUGGUUGUCGUCAGCUCGUGUCGUGAGAUGUUGGGUUAAGUCCCGCAACGAGCGCAACCCCUAUUGUUAGUUGCCAUCAUUCAGUUGGGCACUCUAGCGAGACUGCCGGUAAUAAACCGGAGGAAGGUGGGGAUGACGUCAAAUCAUCAUGCCCCUUAUGACCUGGGCUACACACGUGCUACAAUGGCUGGUACAACGAGUCGCAAGUCGGUGACGGCAAGCUAAUCUCUUAAAGCCAGUCUCAGUUCGGAUUGUAGGCUGCAACUCGCCUACAUGAAGUCGGAAUCGCUAGUAAUCGCGGAUCAGCACGCCGCGGUGAAUACGUUCCCGGGCCUUGUACACACCGCCCGUCACACCACGAGAGUUUGUAACACCCGAAGUCGGUGAGGUAACCUUUUAGGAGCCAGCCGCCUAAGGUGGGAUAGAUGAUUGGGGUGAAGUCGUAACAAGGUAGCCGUAUCGGAAGGUGCGGCUGGAUCACCUCCUUUCUAAGGAA